rnacentral:tRNA from 1 species
AGAAAUAACCUAAAUGAACUUCUAAUUCAAUAUAUUAUGAUUAAAUCAUAUUAUUUCUU